AUUGAACGCUGGCGGCAUGCCUUACACAUGCAAGUCGAACGGUAACAGGGAGCUUGCUCCGCUGACGAGUGGCGAACGGGUGAGUAAUGUAUCGGAACGUACCAUUCAGUGGGGGAUAACGUAGCGAAAGUUACGCUAAUACCGCAUAUUCUGUGAGCAGGAAAGCAGGGGAUCGCAAGACCUUGCGCUGAUUGAGCGGCCGAUAUCAGAUUAGCUAGUUGGUGAGGUAAAGGCUCACCAAGGCGACGAUCUGUAGCGGGUCUGAGAGGAUGAUCCGCCACACUGGAACUGAGACACGGUCCAGACUCCUACGGGAGGCAGCAGUGGGGAAUUUUGGGACAAUGGGGGCAACCCUGAUCCAGCCAUGCCGCGUGAGUGAAGAAGGCCUUCGGGUUGUAAAGCUCUUUCGGCCGGGAAAAAUACGCAUCAGUUAAUACCUGGUGUGGAUGAUGGUACCGGAAUAAGAAGCACCGGCUAACUACGUGCCACG
rnacentral:rRNA from 1 species